rnacentral:misc_RNA from 1 species
GAUGAAGAACGCAGCGAAGUGCGAUAAGUAAUGUGAAUUGCAGAAUUCCGUGAAUCAUCGAAUCUUUGAACGCAAAUUGCACUUUCUGGUAUUCCGGAGAGUAUGCCUGUUUGAGGGUCAGUGUAAUAAAUAAAUCGUGGUUGUUUGCCACCUUUUCGUGGUGACGCUUCGGAAUUGAGUCGUCUUUACCCUUCGGGUUAAGUGACUUAAAAUUUUUUCAUACGAUUUCGAAACGUAUUUAAUGUAUUAUGUACGUUAACGAAUAUCGAAUGCUUUAUUAGGUGCGGUAAUUUUCAUGAAUCGUGUCUAUAAUUUUUUUUUUUGACCUCAAAUCAGGUAAGAAUACCCGCUGAACUUAAGCAUAUCAAUAAGCGGAGGA